rnacentral:tRNA from 1 species
AGGGGCCUCUCGGAGCACAGCUUCGAGAGGCCCCUUCAUGCUUUCCCGGGCCGGUCACCUGCCUGCCGUCCCGUUCA